ACUUUAGUGUCUAAGGGUAUGUUAGGUUAGAUCUCUUUUGAUCCUUAGAUUGUAUCUCAUCCUAUCUUGGAAAGCAUUAGGCUUUGGCAUUUAAUAAUAGUGAGACUUUUGAGUCUGUGCCAUUCGAGCUCAUUCACUCUAAUGUAUGCAAAGAAUCUCCUAUUUCUACUUUGUUAGUUUUUUUAGUUAAAAUUUUUCAGAGAUAAUAUUAUAAUGAGUUUACUAAAAUGAUUGAAGGUUCUCAAAAUCCAUUAAAAUCUACUGAUUUGAAAAUGUCCUAUAGUACAAACAACAUGACUUCCUUAUGGAAUCAUUUCUUAUAUAUCUUAUUGAAGAACUUUGCAGAAAAAUGGUUGAGUAAAAUGUAAACUUUGAUAUAUUUUGUUUUCCAGACUCUCAUUCUUUUUGCAUCUAUUAUUGCAUCCUUCUCAAGCAAAACUGCACCUGCUGUUAUCCAUAGAGGAAAAUAAAUUUUUUUGAUUUAAUAAUAUAGCCACUUUACAGGAUGGUGUUAAGGAUAUUUUAGAAAAAUAAAAUAGAAGAAUUUGAAGAAAGACACAAGUUGCCAGUUUGGCUUUUUAUUCAUAAAAAAGGUUUCCAAUUUGGUAGUUCCAAUAGUAUUAUAACUACUAUUAACAUGAAUUUGAUCCAAUGAUAUUAAUUAAAAAUUUCAGCUUUAAAACAUCUGUGCAUAUGAUCAGAUUAGGUCAUGGUGAGGACUACAAAUUUCAGCUCGCAGUACGUCAAUGCCCAAAAAGUUGUAUUCAUUACAUUACACCUUCGCAGAGAUUUAUCUUAGAGGAGCUACUAGACAGAAUAUGGACAGGGGAUUGGAGAGGAGGCUUGAUCAAUGGAAAUGGGAUGGCUUUUGCAUUUCCUAAACAUAUUAUGGAUGCUCUGGUUGCCUCAUUAAAGCAGGAGGUGUAUUAAGAAUUUAGGGGGCUCAAGUUGUUAUUUACAAAGGCUUGGGCAAUGCUGCAUUUAAAUAUAUACUUGAUGCAGCGUUAAUGUGCACAGGAGAGAAUCCACAAAAAUGGCCAUCUAUGUCUUUGGUAAGGCUGAAGAAUGCAGUUUUGUAUGAGGUUAUUUUUUGACUGAGGUGUUUUCCUCGUGUUGUUGUAACUUCUUUACCGUGCAGCUAAUUUUUGCUGCUUUUGUAAUCCAUGUUUUACUUAUUGAAAUAAAAUAACUGCCUUUCUUAUAA